CCCAGGUUACUCAACCCCAAUUCACCACUUCCCCUGCCCGCCGCACGCACCUGCAGUCAACACCUACUACGCCGCUAACCUGUCCAGCGCCUCCACCUCCCUUCCGGCUAGGCAUUCCGUCGAGCACCAGCCCCCGACCAACCGCCGCCGCCGCAGCCAUGCUCCCCACGAAGCCCCAGCUAUCUUCCUCUCUGCUCGCAUCCACGCCGCUCUUUAACCCCGCAUCCAAUCCCAACCACGCCAAGCCAAUCGCCGCCUCCCCCUCCCCCCGCCGCCGCCUCCGCAUCUCCGCCGCAUCCACGGCGGUUUCGCCGGGGGCGACGGCGCUCAGCCGCGUCGACGUGCUCUCGGAGGCGCUCCCCUUCAUCCAGCGCUUCAAGGGCAAGACGGUGGUGGUCAAGUACGGCGGCGCCGCGAUGAAGUCCCCCGAGCUGCAGUCCUCCGUGAUCCGCGACCUCGUCCUCCUCUCCUGCGUCGGCCUCCGCCCCAUCCUCGUCCACGGCGGCGGGCCAGAGAUCAACUCCUGGCUGCUCCGCGUCGGCGUCGAGCCGCAGUUCCGCAACGGCCUCCGCGUCACCGACGCGCUCACCAUGGAGGUCGUCGAGAUGGUGCUCGUUGGCAAGGUCAACAAGAAUCUCGUCUCCCUCAUCAACCUCGCCGGAGGCACCGCCGUCGGCCUCUGCGGCAAGGACGCGCGCCUCAUCACCGCGCGCCCCUCCCCCAACGCCGCAGCCCUUGGCUUCGUUGGCGAAGUCGCGCGGGUGGACGCCACUGUCCUCCACCCCAUCAUCGCCUCUGGUCACAUCCCGGUCAUUGCCACCGUUGCUGCCGACGAGACAGGGCAGGCCUACAACAUCAACGCGGAUACGGCGGCAGGUGAGAUUGCCGCUGCGGUGGGCGCCGAGAAAUUGCUACUGCUCACAGAUGUGUCUGGGAUACUGGCGGACCGUAAUGACCCUGGCAGCCUGGUGAAGGAGAUUGACAUCGCUGGGGUGCGGCAGAUGGUAUCCGGUGGGCAGGUUGCUGGUGGAAUGAUCCCAAAGGUGGAGUGCUGCGUGAGAGCCCUCGCCCAGGGUGUGCACACUGCAAGCAUCAUCGAUGGGCGUGUCCCGCACUCGCUGUUGCUUGAGAUUCUCACAGAUGAGGGCACUGGCACAAUGAUCACCGGCUAAGACAAGGGGACAAUGAUGGUGCUGAUGCCAUAGAAGGAAGAAAAAUUCCAGACCUAUUGACAUGGAAGUAUAGGGUUUUGUUGGUAAAUCAUGAAAUGAAGCUAUUCAGUGGUUUUCUUGUAAAUUUUAAAGCGCCAGCCCAGGCGCAGAGCUAAGUGCAGCGUGAUGGAUAGAACUGCGGAAACCAAGUGGAUGGGGAAAAGGACUUCGAUUGAGCGCCGCUACGUCAAGGUCCAAUUAUGCUAGCCAUGAGGAUGCGGGAGACUGAUAUGGGUUUGAUUCUUCUCGUCGGUUUCGACCACCAUGUUGUCAUGGGCAUAGCAUAGUGAACUCCACUCAUAGCUAAAAAGGAACGGUGCCUGCCUUCUUUUCAGUAUCUAAUUACCGCAUUCGUCGGAGCUCUUCCGCUGCUGCAUCUCAUUUGUUGGACGGGGAUAUGCUGAGAAAACGAAGGGCAAAUCUGUGCCCACUGUGCUGGUCGCUGCAGAAUCUAUUCCCCAUUAUGUUGCCUGCUUGCUUUUCUUGUGUGAUACUGAAUAAUACCGGUGUGCAUCGUUUACCAGCAUUGUUUAUUAGUAAGUACGUGUUUAGGGUAUUGUUUAUUGCCUGUUGUAGUCUUUGUUACCGUCCGACCCGUGGAGCAAUUUGAGCUUCCCUUGAUUUUUCA